CUAAGAUCAUACGGUGAUACCAGAACAGAGUAAUUAAGGGUGACUGUGUGAAUAAUGAGACAUUACUGCAACACUGGCAUGGCUGAGGUUUCUUGUUUAAAAGGCAGUCAGCCGUGUUCAGUAGAGAUAAGAAAUGUGACUGGGCUUGUGUCAAGUUCACUGUGUCCACUUCCUUAGCAGUAUCCCCCUGAUAAACCCAAUCAGGGACUGUUCAUCAAGCUGAGCACAGAAACCUCAUGUAGAUGGGGUUUUUUAGACAAACUGUCCUGCAAAUCAUCUCAGCUGCUACAAGACAAGUGAGCAGAGGUGGGUAGUAACACGCUACAUUUACUCCGUUACAUUUACUUGAGUAACUUUUUGGAUGAAUUGUACUUGUAAGAGUAGUUUUAAUGCAGCAUACUUUUUACUUUUACUUGAGUAUAUUUGUGAAGAAGAAGCGGUACUUUUACUCCAUUACAUUGGGCUAUAUUCUGCUCGUUACUCGCUACUUAAUUUUUAUUGAUCCGUGCGAUGCGUGGUCUGUUUGUUUAUGUUUUGUCGAGACUUCCAGCAGAGGCCCUGUCACAUGACCGCAUCUCACCGAUCAAAUUGUGGGGGAGACUGUGAUUGACUCGCUCCUCCGCCAAUCAGGGGGCACGACAGGUCUGGAGGGAGAAUGAGGAGGCGGGCAACAAAGCAGAGUUGGUUGAACAUGGCGGCCAGCACCGGCAGUCGGUAAACUGUGAAGCAGGAAAAGUUUUAUUGUGCUGAUAAGCAAGUGACUUUUGCAAAGUUGGAAUUCUGGAGCACUGUGAGUGGUGACAGCUGGCGAGUCCUGCGAGAAGACGGCGCUGGGGUCCACGAACAUCGGCUUCUUCGUCUCGAAUAAGGUUUAAAGUUGGUUUCCUCAUUCUCUCCCUCUCUCCCCCUCCCCCGUGAGGAUUUCCCUGCCACCUGACUUCACCCAAACAGCACUGGAACCCUUGACAAUUCAACAAGUUGCCUAACAAGCGAACUUUGGCUCGACUGGAUUUAUUAAGUUGACACGGAACUACAGAAGGUUUAUUUCUAUCGGAGGAACUGUUUACGUUGACGAAUACUCAGAGUCUCGGACACUGUGACACUAAAGACUGAAAUUGUAUGUGUGUAUGAUAAUCUUGUAUGGUAAUUUUGGAGGUUUUCUUUCAUUUAUAUGCUGAGGUUUAUUUGUCUUUGAGAGACACACCAAAUAAGUUCACAUUGCUUAUUCUGUAAUUGCCAAUAAGGUUCACUGAUAUUGGUUCAGUUCAUUUAGUCAGUGUAGUAGCUACUAUUAGGACGGUCCCGGGACAUCAGCUAGGCUUCUGAAUAUGAGUAUACAACUUUUGAGUUGGGGAUUUGGUGAAAUAAGGUACUACGGAGUUAAAAGGGUUAAGAAAUGCUUAAAUGUUGAACUGCCAUUGAAGGCUUAUCUGUGACAACUUAAUUAUUGCUUUUUAUUUUAUUACAGUCUUAUUCUACAUUUUCAUUUCAUAGUUUCAUUCAAUAAUUGUGGAGCAUAGGGCUCUAAAAUAAACUCAUUUGGUUUAUUGAUUUAAACUGGCCUACUAUUCUAAAUUGUGGGGUGGGAAAACAGACACAAUACACCAGGAUACACAUACACACGCACAUAUCCCAUGUAACUGCCACUCUGAUAAGCUCAUACAUAUCCCAGUUGCUACACAUAGAGUUAUUAGUAAACCCAGUAAUUUAAGUCGGCUCUGUCCCCUACAAAAUGUAGCAGCCAGAGCCAUAGUGGGAGGAGCUUUGGUUUAACUCCGUUUCGCCAAUCAAACAGAGCCAAGCCGCCACGUGCGCCCACACACAAAAUUCCUGUGGCAAGAGCAGUCCAGGUGGAAAAGAGCCCGGAAGCAGAAGAAAAAUGGCAGAGACAGCAGCCAGCGUUUCUCAUCAAGCUGAAGAGGCACACCCCUGGCCACACAUACAAACCAUGUUCACUCUCCAAACAACAAAAAAUAAUAGUUAUGUUAUGCGGUGUCACAACGUGUCUCCCCAAACCAGUGGACGUUUCAGCUUAUAAAAACUCAAUGUCGAAUUUGAGGAAACACAUUGCGCUAAAAGGUCACAGCUUCACAGUGCAAAACUGAGAGCCAACUGCUGUUAAAGCUGAACAGUCACUUCAUGGAGUGAACGUGCACACAGUGUUAUGGUUUAUGUGCAGACUGCCUUGAGCUUCUUGUUAUUGUUAAUACACAGAACUACACACACAGUUUGUGUGAAAUAUAUAUGAAAUCUCUGCCUGUUAUGACAUCCUGAUCAAUAAACAAAGUUACUCAGUA